GUAGGGAAUCUUCCACAAUGGGCGCAAGCCUGAUGGAGCAACACCGCGUGAGUGAAGAAGGGUUUCGGCUCGUAAAGCUCUGUUGUUAAAGAAGAACACGUAUGAGAGUAACUGUUCAUACGUUGACGGUAUUUAACCAGAAAGUCACGGCUAACUACGUUCCAGCAGCCGCGGUAAUACGUAGGUGGCAAGCGUUAUCCGGAUUUAUUGGGCGUAAAGAGAGUGCAGGCGGUUUUCUAAGUCUGAUGUGAAAGCCUUCGGCUUAACCGGAGAAGUGCAUCGGGAACUGGAUAACUUGAGUGCAGAAGAGGGUAGUGGAACUCCAUGUGUAGCGGUGGAAUGCGUAGAUAUAUGGAAGAACACCAGUGGCGAAGGCGGCUACCUGGUCUGCAACUGACGCUGAGACUCGAAAGCAUGGGUAGCGAACAGGAUUAGAAACCCGGGUAGUCC
rnacentral:rRNA from 1 species